CCUACGGGAGGCAGCAGUGGGGAAUAUUGCACAAUGGGCGCAAGCCUGAUGCAGCGACGCCGCGUGAGGGAUGACGGCCUUCGGGUUGUAAACCUCUGUUAGCAUCGAAGAAGCGAAAGUGACGGUAGGUGCAGAGAAAGCGCCGGCUAACUACGUGCCAGCAGCCGCGGUAAUACGUAGGGCGCGAGCGUUGUCCGGAAUUAUUGGGCGUAAAGAGCUUGUAGGCGGUUGGUCGCGUCUGCUGUGAAAGGUUGGGGCUUAACCCUGGUUUUGCAGUGGGUACGGGCUAACUAGAGUGCAGUAGGGGAGACUGGAAUUCCUGGUGUAGCGGUGGAAUGCGCAGAUAUCAGGAGGAACACCGAUGGCGAAGGCAGGUCUCUGGGCUGUAACUGACGCUGAGAAGCGAAAGCAUGGGGAGCGAACAGGAUUAGAUACCCGGGUAGUC
rnacentral:rRNA from 1 species